rnacentral:rRNA from 1 species
UACGGAGGGUGCAAGCGUUAUCCGGAAUCACUGGGUUUAAAGGGUGCGUAGGCGGUCUGAUAAGUCAGUCGUGAAAUCGCUGGGCUUAACCCAUGCAACUGCGAUUGAUACUGUGAGACUUGAAUGGGGUUGAGGCUGGCGGAAUGUGGCAUGUAGCGGUGAAAUGCUUAGAUAUGCCAUAGAACACCAAUUGCGAAGGCAGCCAGCUGGGCCUUGAUUGACGCUGAGGCACGAAAGCGUGGGGAGCAAACAGG